GCUGACAAGGCGAAGUGUGCUAAACUGGCCAAGAAAAGCAAAGGAGGCAACUCCAAGAAGGGAAAGAAGAGAAACUCCAAACAAAACAAACUUAA